GACGAACGCUGGCGGCGUGCCUAAUACAUGCAAGUUGAGCGCUGAAGGUUGGUACUUGUACCAACUGGAUGAGCAGCGCACGGGUGAGUAACGCGUGUGGAAUCUGCCUUUGAGCGGGGGACAACAUUUGGAAACGAAUGCUAAUACCGCAUAAGAACUUUAAACACAAGUUUUAAGUUUGAAAGAUGCAAUUGCAUCACUCAAAGAUGAUCCCGCGUUGUAUUAGCUAGUUGGUGAGGUAAAGGCUCACCAAGGCGAUGAUACAUAGCCGACCUGAGAGGGUGAUCGGCAAAAUUGGGAAUGAGACAAGGCCCAAAAUCAUACGGGAGGCAGCAGUAGGGAAUCUUAGGCAAUGGACGAAAGUCUGACCGAGAAACGACGCGUGAGUGAAGAAGGUUUUCGGAUCGUAAAACUCUGUUGGUAGAGAAGAACGUUGGUGAGAGUGGAAAGCGCAUAAAGUGACGGUAACUACCCAGAAAGGGACGGCUAACUACGUG
rnacentral:rRNA from 1 species